rnacentral:rRNA from 1 species
ACGUGGGUAACCUGCCCUAUACACAUGGAUAACAUACUGAAAGUUUACUAAUACAUGAUAAUAUGUAUUUGCGGCAUCGUAGAUAUAUCAAAGUGUUAGCGGUAUAGGAUGGACCCGCGUCUGAUUAGCUAGUUGGUGAGAUAACUGCCCACCAAGGCGACGAUCAGUAGCCGACCUGAGAGGGUGAUCGGCCACAUUGGAACUGAGACACGGUCCAAACUCCUACGGGAGGCAGCAGGC